rnacentral:rRNA from 1 species
UACGGAGGGGGCUAGCGUUGUUCGGAAUUACUGGGCGUAAAGCGCGCGUAGGCGGACCUGCAAGUCGGGGGUGAAAGCCCGAGGCUCAACCUCGGAACUGCCUUCGAUACUGCGGGUCUCGAGUCCGGGAGAGGUGAGUGGAAUUCCUAGUGUAGAGGUGAAAUUCGUAGAUAAUAGGAAGAACACCAGUGGCGAAGGCGGCUCACUGGCCCGGUACUGACGCUGAGGCGCGAAAGCGUGGGGAGCAAACAGG